rnacentral:rRNA from 1 species
GACGAACGCUGGCGGCGUGCCUAACACAUGCAAGUCGAACGGAAAGGCCCUGCUUUUGUGGGGUGCUCGUGUGGCGAACGCGUGAGUAACACGUGAGUAACCUGCCCUUGACUUUCGGAUAACUUCACGAAACUCGGGCUAAUACCGGAUAGGAGCUCCUGCUGCAUGGUGGGGGUUGGAAAGUUUCGGCGGUUGGGGAUGGACUCGCGGGUUAUCAGCUUGUUGGUGGGGUAGUGGCUUACCAAGGCUUUGACGGGUAGCCGGCCUGAGAGGGUGACCGGCCACAUUGGGACUGAGAGACGGCGCAGACUCCAACGGGAGGCAGCAGGGGGGAGUAUGGCGCAAUGGGCGGGAGCCUGAUGCGGCAGCGCCGCGUGCGGGAUGACGGCCUUCGGGUGGUAAACCGCUUUCGCCUGUGACGAAGCGUGAGUGACGGUAAUGGGUAAAGAAGCACCGGCUAACUACGUG